CCUACGGGAGGCAGCAGUGGGGAAUAUUUCACAAUGGGGGAAACCCUGAUGCCGCGACGCCGCGUGAGUGAAGAAGUAUCUCGGUAUGUAAAGCUCUAUUUGCAGGGAAGAAAAUGACGGUACAUGACUAAGAAUCUCCGGCUAACUACGUGCCAGCAGCCGCGGUAAUACGCAGGGGGCAAGCGUUAUCCGGAUUUACUGGGCGUAAAGGGAGCGUAGGGGGACGCACAAGUCUGGAGUGAAAUCCCGGGGCUUAACCCCGGAACUGCUUUUGAAACUGUGCGGCUGGAGUGCAGGAGGGGUAAGCGGAAGUCCUGGUGUAGCGGUGAAAUGCGUAGAGAUUAGGAGGAACACCGGUGGCGAAGGCAGCUUACUGGACUGUAACUGACGUUGAGGCACGAAAGCGUGGGGAGCAAACAGGAUUAGAUACCCGGGUAGUC
rnacentral:rRNA from 1 species